rnacentral:rRNA from 1 species
CGUGUAGGCGGCGAUCUAAGUCGGGUGUGAAAUCCCUCGGCCCAACCGGGGAAUGGCAUUCGAUACUGGAUUGCUUGAGUGCGGUAGGGGCAAGUGGAACUCCAGGUGUAGCGGUGAAAUGCGUAGAUAUCUGGAGGAACGCCGGUGGCGAAAGCGACUUGCUGGACCGCAACUGACGCUGAGGCGCGAAAGCUAGGGGAGCAAACA